GAUGAACGCUGGCGGCGUGCCUAAUACAUGCCAGUCGAGCGAACAGAUGAGGAGCUUGCUCCUCUGACGUUAGCGGCGGACGGGUGAGUAACACGUGGAUAACCUACCUCUAAGACUGGGAUAACUUCGGGAAACCGGAGCUAAUACCGGAUAAUAUAUUGAACCGCAUGGUUCAAUAGUGAAAGACGGUUUUGCUGUCACUUAUAGAUGGAUCCGCGCCGCAUUAGCUAGUUGGUAAGGUAACGGCUUACCAAGGCAACGAUGCGUAUCCGACCUGAGAGGGUGAUCGGCCACACUGGAUCUGAGACACGGCCCAGACUCCUACGGGAGGCAGCAGUAGGGAAUCUUCCGCAAUGGGCGAAAGCCGGACGGAGCGACGCCGCGUGAGUGAUGAAGGUCUUCGGAUCGUAAAACUCUGUUAUUAGGAAAGAACAAAUGUGUAAGUAACUAUGCACGUCUUGACGGUACCUAAUGAGAAAGCCACGGCUAACUACGUG
rnacentral:rRNA from 1 species